GGAGGGAAUAGCUCAAGUGGUAGAGUGUGUGCUUAAUGUGCACAAGGUCCUGGGUUCAAACCCCAGUGCCUCUU